rnacentral:rRNA from 1 species
CUGACCUCCACCGCCCGGAACCCCUGCCGGAGCCGCCCCGCCACCCGCAGUCGUCGGUGUUGCCUCCCCGUCUCCGUCGCUCGUCCUCAUCCUCCUCCCCGCCGGACGCCGUCGACGCACGCCGCCCCGCUGCUGCACCACUGCCUCGACCUCGCCGUCGUCCCGGCCUCCUCCUCGAGCCGCUGCCACUCCCCUACACCGUACGGUGAGGCCCCGGCCUCUCCCUCUCUUCCCGUCCCCGUCGAGCUUCGAUUCCGGCCGUCGCCUGACCUCGACGCACCGCCCAGCCCGCGCG